GGCGCAGCCUGAUGCGCCAUGCCGCGUGUGUGAAGAAGGCCUUCGGGUUGUAAAGCACUUUCAGUCGUGAGGAAGGUUCAUGCGUUAAUAGCGUAUGGAUUUGACGUUAGCGACAGAAGAAGCACCGGCUAACUCCGUGCCAGCAGCCGCGGUAAUACGGAGGGUGCGAGCGUUAAUCGGAAUUACUGGGCGUAAAGCGCAUGCAGGUGGUUCGUUAAGUCAGAUGUGAAAGCCCGGGGCUCAACCUCGGAACUGCAUUUGAAACUGGCGGACUAGAGUACUGUAGAGGGGGGUAGAAUUUCAGGUGUAGCGGUGAAAUGCGUAGAGAUCUGAAGGAAUACCGGUGGCGAAGGCGGCCCCCUGGACAGAUACUGACACUCAGAUGCGAAAGCGUGGGGAGCAAACAGGAUUAGAUACCCUGGUAGUCCACGCCGUAAACGAUGUCUACUUGGAGGUUGUGGCCUUGAGCCGUGGCUUUCGGAGCUAACGCGUUAAGUAGACCGCCUGGGGAGUACGGUCGCAAGAUUAAAACUCAAAUGAAUUGACGGGGGCCCGCACAAGCGGUGGAGCAUGUGGUUUAAUUCGAUGCAACGCGAAGAACCUUACCUACUCUUGACAUCUAGAGAAGCCAGCGGAGACGCAGGUGUGCCUUCGGGAACUCUAAGACAGGUGCUGCAUGGCUGUCGUCAGCUCGUGUUGUGAAAUGUUGGGUUAAGUCCCGCAACGAGCGCAACCCUUAUCCUUGUUUGCCAGCGAGUAAUGUCGGGAACUCCAGGGAGACUGCCGGUGAUAAACCGGAGGAAGGUGGGGACGACGUCAAGUCAUCAUGGCCCUUACGAGUAGGGCUACACACGUGCUACAAUGGCGCAUACAGAGGGCUGCCAACCAGCGAUGGUGAGCGAAUCCCAAAAAGUGCGUCGUAGUCCGGAUUGGAGUCUGCAACUCGACUCCAUGAAGUCGGAAUCGCUAGUAAUCGUGAAUCAGAAUGUCACGGUGAAUACGUUCCCGGGCCUUGUACACACCGCCCGUCACACCAUGGGAGUGGGCUGCAAAAGAAGUGGGUAGUUUAACCUUUCGAGGAGGACGCUCACCACUUUGUGGUCAUGAUGGG
rnacentral:rRNA from 1 species